rnacentral:tRNA from 1 species
GCCCACUUGGUGGAACGGUAGACACAGCAGACUUAAAAUCUGCAGACUUCGGUCGUGCUGGUUCAAGUCCGGCAGUGGGUA